GAUGAAGAACGUAGUGAAAUGCGAUAAGUAAUGUGAAUUGCAGAAUUCAGUGAAUCAUCGAAUCUUUGAACGCACCUUGCGCUCCUUGGUAUUCCUUGGAGCAUGCCUGUUUGAGUAUCAUGAAAUUCUCAAAGUAAACCUUUUGUUAAUUCAACUGGUCUUUGCUUUGGAUUUGGAGGCCUUUGCAGAUGUCACAGUCUGCUCCUCUUAAAUAAAUUAGCUGGAUCUCAGUAUACACUUGGUUCCACUCGGCGUGAUAAGUAUCACUCGCUGAGGACACUGUUAAAAAGGUGGCCAGGCAAUGCAGAUGAACCGCUUCUAAUAGUCCAUUGACUUGGACAAAUUAAAAAUUUAUGAUCUGAUCUCAAAUCAGGUAGGACUACCCGCUGAACUUAAGCAUAUCAAUAAGCGGAGGA
rnacentral:misc_RNA from 1 species